CCUACGGGUGGCAGCAGUGAGGAAUAUUGGUCAAUGGGCGCGAGCCUGAACCAGCCAAGUCGCGUGAGGGAAGACGGUCCUAUGGAUUGUAAACCUCUUUUGUCGGGGAGCAAAACACGCCACGCGUGGCGUUCCGAGAGUACCCGAAGAAAAAGCAUCGGCCAACUCCGUGCCAGCAGCCGCGGUAAUACGGAGGAUGCGAGCGGUAUCCGGAUUUAUUGGGUUUAAAGGGGGCGCAGGCGGAAGAUCAAGGCAGCGGUAAAAUUGAGGGGCUCAACCUCUUCGAGCCGUUGAAACUGGUGUUCUUGAGUGAGUGAGAAGUAUGCGGAAUGCGUGGUGUAGCGGUGAAAUGCAUAGAUAUCACGCAGAACUCCGAUUGCGAAGGCAGCAUACCGGCGCGCAACUGACGCUCAUGCACGAAAGUGUGGGUAUCGAACAGGAUUAGAUACCCUUGUAGUC
rnacentral:rRNA from 1 species